UGGGGAAUUUUGGACAAUGGGCGAAAGCCUGAUCCAGCAAUGCCGCGUGUGUGAAGAAGGCCUUCGGGUUGUAAAGCACUUUUGUCCGGAAAGAAAUCCUUGGCUCUAAUACAGUCGGGGGAUGACGGUACCGGAAGAAUAAGCACUGGCUAACUACGUGCCAGCAGCCGCGGUAAUACGUAGGGUGCAAGCGUUAAUCGGAAUUACUGGGCGUAAAGCGUGCGCAGGCGGUUUGCUAAGACCGAUGUGAAAUCCCCGGGCUCAACCUGGGAACUGCAUUGGUGACUGGCAGGCUAGAGUAUGGCAGAGGGGGGUAGAAUUCCACGUGUAGCAGUGAAAUGCGUAGAGAUGUGGAGGAAUACCGAUGGCGAAGGCAGCCCCUGGGCCAAUACUGACGCUCAUGCACGAAAAGCGUGGGGAGCAAAACAGGAUUAGAUACCCUGGUAGUCCACGCCCUAAACGAUGUCAACUAGUUGUUGGGGAUUCAUUUCCUUAGUAACGUAGCUAACGCGUGAAGUUGACCGCCUGGGGAGUACGGUCGCAAGAUUAAAACUCAAAUGAUUGACGGGGG
rnacentral:rRNA from 1 species